rnacentral:tRNA from 1 species
AUAGAAGUAGUUUAAAUUAAAACCUAAGGUUGUGGUCCUUAAAAUAUGAUCUAUAUUCAUCUUCUAUC